GAUGAAGAACGCAGCGAAAUGCGAUAAGUAAUGUGAAUUGCAGAAUUCAGUGAAUCAUCGAAUCUUUGAACGCACAUUGCGCCCCCUGGUAUUCCGGGGGGCAUGCCUGUUCGAGCGUCAUUACAACCCUCAAGCUCUGCUUGGUAUUGGGCCCCGCCAGUUCUGGCGGGCCCUAAAGUCAGUGGCGGUGCCUUCCGGCUCCGAGCGUAGUAAUUCUUCUCGCUCUGGAGACCCGGUUGUGUGCUUGCCAACAACCCCCAAUUUUUUAAGGUUGACCUCGGAUCAGGUAGGGAUACCAGCUGAACUUAAGCAUAUCAAUAAGCGGAGGA
rnacentral:misc_RNA from 1 species